CAAAAGCAAGUGUACGUGAUGAGGAUUCCAGCUUGAGAUGUGAUUCAGCUUUGUCUUCAAAGAAGAAACCACUAGUUUUCUCCCCAACUUUUGGUUUACAGUCAAGAAAUCAUUCUCAGUUCCAUGAUUCUAAUCAAUCAUUAUCCAAGAAAACCAUAAGUUGUUCGAAAGAGUCUGCCGCUCCUGGAAAUUUGUUAGAAGCACCAUCAGAAUCCUUGCCAAA
rnacentral:misc_RNA from 1 species